GUACGUAGGUGGCGAGCGUUGUCCGGAAUUACUGGGUGUAAAGGGCGUGUAGGCGGAGACUUAAGUCAGAUGUGAAAUUCCCGGGCUCAACUCGGGCGCUGCAUUUGAAACUGUGUUUCUUGAGUGAUGGAGAGGAAAGCGGAAUUCCUAGUGUAGCGGUGAAAUGCGUAGAUAUUAGGAGGAACACCAGUGGCGAAGGCGGCUUUCUGGACAUUAACUGACGCUGAGGCGCGAAAGCGUGGGGAGCAAACAGGAUUAGAUACCCUGGUAGUCCACGCCGUAAACGAUGAUUACUAGGUGUGGGAGGUAUCGACCCCUUCCGUGCCGGAGUUAACACAAUAAGUAAUCCACCUGGGGAGUACGGCCGCAAGGUUGAA
rnacentral:rRNA from 1 species